CUCUCGGAACGUGUCGGACGUGUUUUCUCUUCGACCAAUCUUUGAAUUAUUUGCCGUUCAAUGCGUUACAGUGUGCCUCGGCGGCAGACCUUGAGCUUGGCCGGUGAGUUGCAGAGGCUGGAAAACACAAGAACAAACAAUACAAAGAAAUCGGAAGCGGUUCAUCAAACAAGAAGGAACCUGCGGCUACAGUUGCGUUGCUAUGUGGUUCUAACGUUAAGCUUCAAAAUGUUGAAUUGCAGGAUGCCCACCUUUGCUGUUCUGUGACAUUUAACCUUCAAUAAGUCAAGUGGCUCUUUCACGCUGCGCAGUAUGAUGUAGCUUCAGAUUCUGACAAUUUUGGAACUUUGCAUACGAAAAUAAAGUACAUUACAGUGUACACCCUGC